AGUGAACGCUGGCGGCAGGCCUAACACAUGCAAGUCGAGCGGCAGCGGGUUCCCGCGAGGGGAUGCCGGCGAGCGGCGGACGGGUGAGGAACACAUCGGAAUCUGCCUGGUUGUGGGGGAUAACGUAGGGAAACUUACGCUAAUACCGCAUGCGACCCUGAGUCGACGGACUGGGGGUGAAAGUGAGGGACCUUCGGGCCUCACGCGACCAGAUGAGCCGAUGUCGGAUAGCUAGUUGGCGGGGUAACGGCCCGCCAAGGCGACGAUCCGUAGCUGGUCUGAGAGGAUGAUCAGCCACACUGGGACUGAGACACGGCCCAGACUCCUACGGGAGGCAGCAGUGGGGAAUCUUGGACAAUGGGCGCAAGCCUGAUCCAGCCAUGCCGC
rnacentral:rRNA from 1 species